rnacentral:lncRNA from 1 species
AAAGCAAAUGAAGGGAAAAAAGAAACAUGGGAUACAGCAGAAGAAGACUCUGGAACUGAUAGUGAAUAUGAUGAGAGUGGCAAGAGUAGGGGAGAAAUGCAGUACAUGUAUUUCAAAGCUGAACCUUAUGCUGCAGAUGAAGGUUCUGGGGAAGGACAUAAAUGGUUGAUGGUGCAUGUUGAUAAAAGAAUUACUCUGGCAGCUUUCAAACAACAUUUAGAGCCCUUUGUUGGAGUUUUGUCCUCUCACUUCAAGGUCUUUCGAGUGUAUGCCAGCAAUCAAGAGUUUGAGAGCGUCCGGCUGAAUGAGACACUUUCAUCAUUUUCUGAUGACAAUAAGAUUACAAUUAGACUGGGGAGAGCACUUAAAAAAGGAGAAUACAGAGUUAAAGUAUACCAGCUUUUGGUCAAUGAACAAGAGGUAAGUAAUACGUUUAAGAAUAAUAUAAGGUUACUUUUUACAGUUACUGAAAACAUAGAAUAUAUUUUAUUCAUAGUCAUUUUAUUUCUCUGAAGCAAAGGUCAGCAAAUUUUUUCUGGGCCUUGCAGUUUAGCAGGCCAUACUGCCUCUGUUGCAGUUACUCACUUCUGCUAUUAUAGCACAAGGAGCCAUAGACAAUAAUAAGCCAAUGAGAUGGCUAUGUCUCAACAUUUUAUUUACAAAAGCAGGCAGCAGUGAACUUGGCCCUCAGGCCACUGUUUGUCAUCCCUGUGCUCUAAAGUGUUGCUACAAAUGCUGAAAUGAGACAAAAUUUUCCUGCUUUUAAAAGGAAAAGAAAUUUUUUUGUGCGUGUGCUUGCUUUCUGGAAACAAUCAUACAGUGCUACAGGUGAAUAGCAGUUGCAAGUCAUUUUAGUAUGUAACAAGCAUUUAUAUAGUGUCUACUGUGUGCUUUAGGUGCUUGCAAAUAUUAACUCAUUUAAUCAUCAGUUAACUA